GAUGAACGCUGGCGGCGUGCCUAAUACAUGCCAGUCGAGCGAACAGACGAGGAGCUUGCUCCUCUGACGUUAGCGGCGGACGGGUGAGUAACACGUGGAUAACCUACCUAUAAUACUGGGAUAACUUCGGGAAACCGGAGCUAAUACCGGAUAAUAUAUUGAACCGCAUGGUUCAAUAGUGAAAGACGGUUUUGCUGUCACUUAUAGAUGGAUCCGCGCCGCAUUAGCUAGUUGGUAAGGUAACGGCUUACCAAGGCAACGAUGCGUAGCCGACCUGAGAGGGUGGUCGGCCACACUGGAACUGAGACACGGUCCAGACUCCUACGGGAGGCAGCAGUAGGGAAUCUUCCGCAAUGGGCGAAAGCCUGACGGAGCAACGCCGCGUGAGUGAUGAAGGUCUUCGGAUCGUAAAACUCUGUUAUUAGGGAAGAACAAAUGUGUAAGUAACUAUGCACGUAUUGACGGUACCUAAUCAGAAAGCCACGGCUAACUACGUG
rnacentral:rRNA from 1 species